UACGAACCGUCCCAACGUUAUUCGGAAUCACUGGGCUUACAGGGUGCGUAGGCUGUUGUUUAAGACGGAUGUGAAAUCCCUCGGCUCAACCGAGGAACUGCAUUCGAUACUGUAUAACUUGAGGAAGAUAGGGGUGAGCGGAACUGAGAGUGGAGCGGUGAAAUGCGUUGAUAUUCUCAGGAACACCGGUGGCGAAAGCGGCUCACUGGAUCUUUUCUGACGCUGAGGCACGAAAGCUAGGGUAGCGAACGGGAUUAGAUACCCCGGUAGUCCUAGCCGUAAACGAUGAGCACUGGAUCGGAGGAUACUUCAUAGUCUUCUGGUCGCAGCGAAAGUGUUAAGUGCUCCGCCUGGGGAGUAUGGUCGCAAGGCUGAA
rnacentral:rRNA from 1 species